rnacentral:pre_miRNA from 11 species
UUUUUGUCUCUAAAGGAUGGAAGUGUAAGACCCCCGAAGGGAGACCCUCACUCAAAUCUCGGGAAUAGCACACACCCAGUGAGGCACCGAGACCG